UUUAGCAAAAUCGCUCGUUAAUUUAAACUUCAAAUCCUCAUUUAAAGACGCGUUUGUUGUUCUGUGUACACGAUGUUAAAAAUAAAGGAAAAUUUGGAAAAAUUGUGCCUCGCGACCUAAGUAGUCUUCAUUCAUAAAUCAUGACUUGUAAAUUUUUAUUAUUAUUGCAGUCCACUUUUUUAGAAAAGUACAGACAGUACCUACGACAGAGUAGUACGUAAGGCUCUUGACACAAAAGGUAUUGAAGUGACAGGUCCCAAGAUUGUCUUCUAAACUGCGGGCAAUAAUUUAUUUUUAUAUUCAUUAUUUCAAUAAAUUUUAAUUUUACUAUGAAUCGUGAUUUCAUUGUUAUUAUGUCAAUAUUAUUAAUUAUUUAUAUUAUGAUUGAAUUUGAUUUUAAUGUACUUACUAACCCCUAGCUAUAACGAUGGUACGAGUAGGGUAGACCGGGGACAAUAGAAACACGUCAUGAUUGAAACAAGUCAAAUUUCUCGAAAACUAUAAUACCUACGCGUCUGACGUAACACUCGGAACACGCGGUCGGCCAUAUUUGAAUCCUUGGCCAGUAGCGCUCGAGCGCCGGUGCGAGACGGGAGUGUCCACGAGCCAAACAAGUUUUUCGCGGUAAAAAAUGCCCCGAAAACGGAAGCAUGUUACGGAGAGAACCUCAAAAAGCAUGUUUGCCUAUCAACAGGCUUAUGAGGAAGUGAUCUCUGGAAAGUUCUUUGAUAGGCAUAUCGCCAUGUUUUUGUUUACGUAAUAAAACAAUUUAUACUGAUUAUUUUA